rnacentral:rRNA from 1 species
CCUACGGGAGGCAGCAGUGGGGAAUAUUGCGCAAUGGACGAAAGUCUGACGCAGCGACGCCGCGUGAGGGAUGAAGGUAUUCGGAUCGUAAACCUCUGUCAGGAGGGAAGAAAGCGCAUGGCGCCAAUCAGCCAUGCGUUGACGGUACCUCCAAAGGAAGCGUCGGUUAACUCCGUGCCAGCAGCCGGGGUAAUACGGAGGGCGGGAGCGUUAAUCGGAAUUACUGGGCGUAAAGGGCGCGUAGGCUGGUGUGUAAGUUGGGGGGGAAAUCCCACGGCUCAACCGUGGAACCGCCCUUGAAACUGGGCGUCUUGAGUCCGAGAGAGGGAGGCGGAAUUCGAGGUGUAGGAGUGAAAUCCAUAGAUAUCGGGAGGAACAUCAAUGGCGAAGGCAGCAACCUGGAUCCAUAUUGACGCUGAGGCGCGAAAGCGUGGGGAGCAAACAGGAUUAGAUACCCUUGUAGUC